GGGAUUUCCAUGGCGAAACCUGACGGAGCAAUACCGCGUGAGGGAGGAAGCUCUUGGGUUGUAAACCUCUUUUCUCAGGGAAGAACAAAAUGACGGUACCUGGAGGAAUAAGCAUCGGCUAACUCCGUGCCAGCAGCCGCGGUAAUACGGAGGAUGCAAGCGUUAUCCGGAAUGAUUGGGCGUAAAGCGUCCGCAGGUGGCUUUGCAAGUCUGCUGUCAAAGCUCAGGGCUUAACCCUGAAUCGGCGGUGGAAACUGAAAGGCUAGAGUGCGGUAGGGGCAGAGGGAAUUCCCAGUGUAGCGGUGAAAUGCGUAGAGAUUGGGAAGAACACCAGUGGCGAAAGCGCUCUGCUAGACCGCAACUGACACUCAUGGACGAAAGCUAGGGGAGCGAAUGGGAUUAGAUACCCCAGUAGUCCUAGCCGUAAACGAUGGAUACUAGGCGUUGAGAGUAUCGACCCUCUCAGUGUCGUAGCUAACGCGUUAAGUAUCCCGCCUGGGGAGUACGCACGCAAGUGUGAAACUCAAAGGGAUUAGGGGGG
rnacentral:rRNA from 1 species